GGGGUGUGCUCAGAGCAGGGGGCCUGAAGAGAUGGCGCCUCUGUUCACAACACACCCGACAGGAAUCUGGGCUCGCUGUGACAAGGGGCCGCAAACUGGGGGCCUUCCUAUGAACACAUAUGCUACACGU
rfam:Camelus ferus unplaced genomic scaffold scaffold121, whole genome shotgun sequence.